UGGGGAAUUUUGGACAAUGGGGGAAACCCUGAUCCAGCCAUCCCGCGUGUGCGAUGAAGGCCUUCGGGUUGUAAAGCACUUUUGGCAGGAAAGAAACGUCGCGGGUUAAUACCCCGCGAAACUGACGGUACCUGCAGAAUAAGCACCGGCUAACUACGUGCCAGCAGCCGCGGUAAUACGUAGGGUGCAAGCGUUAAUCGGAAUUACUGGGCGUAAAGCGUGCGCAGGCGGUUCGGAAAGAAAGAUGUGAAAUCCCAGAGCUUAACUUUGGAACUGCAUUUUUAACUACCGGGCUAGAGUGUGUCAGAGGGAGGUGGAAUUCCGCGUGUAGCAGUGAAAUGCGUAGAUAUGCGGAGGAACACCGAUGGCGAAGGCAGCCUCCUGGGAUAACACUGACGCUCAUGCACGAAAGCGUGGGGAGCAAACAGGAUUAGAUACCCUGGUAGUCCACGCCCUAAACGAUGUCAACUAGCUGUUGGGGCCUUCGGGCCUUGGUAGCGCAGCUAACGCGUGAAGUUGACCGCCUGGGGAGUACGGUCGCAAGAUUAAAACUCAAAUGAAUUGACGGGGUCGAUANC
rnacentral:rRNA from 1 species